rnacentral:rRNA from 1 species
AGCAUAUCAAUAAGCGGAGGAAAAGAAACCAACAGGGAUUGCCUCAGUAACGGCGAGUGAAGCGGCAACAGCUCAAAUUUGAAAUCUGGCUCCUUUUGGCGUCCGAGUUGUAAUUUGUAGAGGGUGCUUCGGGUGAAGCUCCGGUCCAAGUCCCUUGGAACAGGACGUCAGAGAGGGUGAGAACCCCGUGUCCGACCGGUAGCGCUCCCCAUGUGAAGCCCCUUCGACGAGUCGAGUUGUUUGGGAAUGCAGCUCUAAAUUGGUGGUAAAUUCCAUCUAAAGCUAAAUACCGGCCAGAGACCGAUAGCGCACAAGUAGAGUGAUCGAAAGAUGAAAAGCACUUUGAAAAGAGAGUCAAAAAGUACGUGAAAUUGUUGAAAGGGAAGCGCUUGCGGCCAGACUUGCCCGCGGAUGUUCAGCCCGUCUUUUGGCGGGUGCACUCUUCCGCGGUCAGGCCAGCAUCGGUUUGGGCGGCCGGACAAAGGCCCUGGGAACGUGGCCCCCCUCGGGGGGUGUUAUAGCCUGGGGUGCAAUGCGGCCAGCCCGGACCGAGGAUCGCGCUCUGCUAGGAUGCUGGCGUAAUGGCCGUAAGCGGCCCGUCUUGAAACACGGACCAAGGAGUCUAACAUCUAUGCGAGUGUUUGGGUGUCAAACCCGUGCGCGUAAUGAAAGUGAACGGAGGUGGGAACCUUAGGGUGCACCAUCGACCGAUCCUGAUGUCUUCGGAAGGAUUUGAGUAAGAGCAUAGCUGUUGGGACCCGAAAGAUGGUGAACUAUGCCUAGAUAGGGUGAAGCCAGAGGAAACUCUGGUGGAGGCUCGCAGCGGUUCUGACGUGCAAAUCGAUCGUCAAAUCUGGGUAUAGGGGCGAAAGACUAAUCGAACCAUUUAGUAGCUGGUUCCUGCCGAA